GGCUCGGGUCAUCCCGUGGCACGCCCGUCUGAGGGUCGGUGACCAAAAUAAAUCGCGCCUCCUCUUGCUCUUUUUUGUGAGGGGGCGCGCUCUGGGCUUUCGCGGCGGCGUAUUCGUCGUCCCGUGGCCUUAAGUUCAAGCCGCAUCGCUUUGUCUGUUUCGCUGCAUGUCCGACCGUUUCGCCCGGCAGGACCCGGCUCGGUUUCCAAUCGGGCUUGCCGAAGCGUUGUCUCGGUGUCAGCGCGCGGUGCCAGCACGUUCGUUAUUUUGUGUGUUUUUUAUCUCCGACCUCAGAUCGGACGAGAUUACCCGCUGAAUUUAAGCAUAUAACUAAGCGGAGGAAAAGAAACUAACAAGGAUUUCCCCAGUAACGGCGAGUGAAGCGGAAAUAGCCCAGCACCGAAUCCCUCAGUGUCGCGCUGACGGGAACUGUGGUGUGUGGGACGCCACCAGUCGCAUCAGUGGGCACCGAAGUCCUCCUGAUCGAGGCUUCACCCAGAGCGGGUGUAAGGCCUUUGCAGGUGCCCUACUGUGCGGCCGCGAGCGUCUCAGGAGUCGGGUUGUUUGGGAAUGCAGCCCAAAGCGGGUGGUAAACUCCAUCUAA
rnacentral:rRNA from 1 species